AACAAGACUGCAAUGGAUGCAGCUCAUGAAGAAUGCCAACACUUGCACUGCUGAUUAAUAUUAAGAUUCAGAGCAGAAUAAUUCAGAACUGAGCCUGGAACAUAGAUAAA